rnacentral:rRNA from 1 species
AUUGAACGCUGGCGGCAUGCCUUACACAUGCAAGUCGAACGGCAGCGGGGGAGAAGCUUGCUUUUCCUGCCGGCGAGUGGCGAACGGGUGAGUAAUACAUCGGAACGUGCCCUGUAGUGGGGGAUAACUAGUCGAAAGAUUAGCUAAUACCGCAUACGACCUGAGGGUGAAAGUGGGGGACCGCAAGGCCUCAUGCUAUAGGAGCGGCCGAUGUCUGAUUAGCUAGUUGGUGGGGUAAAGGCCUACCAAGGCGACGAUCAGUAGCUGGUCUGAGAGGACGAGCAGCCACACUGGGACUGUGACACGGCCCAGACUCCUACGGGAGGCAGCAGUGGGGAAUUUUGGACAAUGGGCGAAAGCCUGAUCCAGCAAUGCCGCGUGUGUGAAGAAGGCCUUCGGGUUGUAAAGCACUUUUGUCCGGAAAGAAAUGGCUCUGGUUAAUACCUGGGGUCGAUGACGGUACCGGAAGAAUAAGGACCGGCUAACUACGUGCCAGCCGCCGCCGUAA